GUGCCAGCAGCCGCGGUAAUACGAGGGGGGCAAGCGUUGUUCGGAAUUACUGGGCGUAAAGGGCGCGUAGGCGGUCUGACAAGUCUUCCGUGAAAGCCCACGGCUCAACCGUGGAACUGCGGGGGAAACUGCCAGACUUGAGUCCGGGAGGGGAGAGUGGAAUUCCCAGUGUAGCGGUGAAAUGCGCAGAUAUUGGGAGGAACACCGGAGGCGAAGGCGUCUCUCUGGACCGGUACUGACGCUGAGGCGCGAAAGCCAGGGGAGCGAACGGGAUUAGAUACCCCGGUAGUCCUGGCCGUAAACGAUGAGCACUGGAUGUGGCGGGUAUUGACCCCUGCCGUGUCGGCGCUAACGCAUUAAGUGCUCCGCCUGGGGAGUACGGUCGCAAGGCUGAAACUCAAAUAAAUUGACGG
rnacentral:rRNA from 1 species